AAGGAAUAAAAACCGUUCGGGUCCAGUCUUUUAUAGUCUAGCUACGGGACACAGAAAGAAACGCCAGCCUGGCAAAGCAGAACAGAACAGGGAAAGAGGAUGACUCUUGAAGAAUUCCAUGCCCUUCUUUCGUCUUGUCUCUGGAUGUUUAUCAUCUAUCUGAAUGGGCACAUGGUGUCACAGUUUAAUGUCUCAUCAUAAAAAGUGCUACGAACGGCCGUGAGCUCUGGAACAGAGACACUGAUCAUGGAGGCUCAACUUCAAUGGGUUGGACAUGCAGAUGGAAGACAACCGCCUUCGAAAGAUGGUAUUUUUUUCUGAGCUGGCACAUGGCACUGGAAAGCAGGGAGGCCCCACAAAGUGCUAUAAAAACACUGCGAAAGUGUCCUUGAAGGCAUACAAUAUACCUGUGACUGGUUAGGAGGACUUGGCCAAAGACCGCAACGCCUGGCGCCUGGCAGUCUACGAAGGAACCAGCACAUUCGAAGAGCCGAGGCUGAUAAACCUUGAUCAAAGUGCCAGGGCUGCGAGGAAAAAUGACCUGACUUUUCAAUGGCUGUAACAUGCCCAACCUGUGGGCGCAUCUGUGCUUCCCAUUUCGGGCUUUGCUCUCAUCAGAGGCAUCACUGACACCAUUAUCAUUCCCGACUGACUUCCAAGAAGAAGAUUGGGUCUAAAUAAUUGCAUCUCCAGACCAAUCCAACAGUUACAGAAUGGCUACCAAGAAUGAUCAAUUUAUCUUGAUUCUGAUUUUUAUUAGCUAAUCAUCAGUCCAUACCUUACCCUAAUACAUUGCAUUCUUUCCUUAUGUUGUUACCACCAUUCCCUCUAAGCUGCGCAGGUGCGUGACUUGACUUUACUUUAUCGUUGCCAAACAAUUGAUAAUCAUCACGGCGAUAUUUGAUUCUGCGCUUCGCACUCCCUGGAGUACAAAGUUGAUAGUAAAUAUUAAAAAUUUAAAUUAUAAAUCAUAAAUAGAAAAUAGAAAAGGGAAAGUAAGAUAGUGCAAAAAAAAAACCGAGAGGCCGGUCCGGGUAUUUGGAGGGUACGGCCCAGAUCUGGGACUGCGCAGUAACUAAAAUGCUCCCACGUAUAUAGCCUUUGUUGAUGUGCACCUGGAGUUUUCUUUUGUACUGUAUAAUAUGCCAUGCAGUUUUCAGGCCAUGUAAAAUACUCUGCUUGGAGCAAUGGCUGGUCUAUGCAGGUGUAAAAAAAUUGGAAAGAACUUUAGUUGUAACCAUAUACAUGAUAGCUAUCAAAUGCGUUUUAGAAAUCUAAAUGCACUGCUUGGUACAUCUUCAAAUAACUCUCAAAAAUACCACAACAUAGUUUCCUUUCAUAAACCAUGUUGAACAGCAUCUGCAUGUUCCUCUUCACAUUGCACAACCUCUUGAAUUAGAACUACGUUGCUGUUCCUUGAUCGUCACUGGCUCUAAAUUCUGAAACUCCAUCCCAGCAACACUUCGGAAUCGCUCUGAAUAAAAAUCAUGUAGCAGUUCAGGAAGAUGCUUAUCAAGGAGAAAAUUGGAGUGAACAGUAAGUGUUGAUCAUGCCAGUAAUGUAAGUUCUUAGUUAUAGAUUUCAGUAUUUUCUCAAAAUUAGCUCUUAGAUGAGUCUGUACAGGACUAGGUAAUAUCUCUGUAAUGUCUUCCACUGCUUUUCCACCAUAUAUCUUUUAAUCUAUUUUCCACUCAAAUUUGUAACGGUCUCUACUUAGGCCUAAGACACACAUUUCAGACACACAGUAGUCAGACUGAAUAUGGAAUUCCAUCAUUCUGUUGGUCAAUCAAUAAAAAGUUAUGAGUUAAGAAGUGUAUUCUGUAGAGUUUGUUCUGCACAGACAAAAUAGACUGAAGUUAUCCAAUGUAUCUAAAUAAGGAUAUAAAAUCCAUAAUUUAGCUGCAAGAUAGAAGUAACUAAGAAAAUAUUUUCUGCAAACAAGAUAGCGCACAGCCAGCAUUGUUGAUUUGUUUUUAUUGACUGGAGUUGAACGAUUCAAAUUUUGGUCUCAUUUAUUUUCAUGUUAAUUAUAAACAACAUUGGAGGUUUCUAAGCCACAGAAUGAAAUUCAGAUUUUCUGCUUAUCAUGCACUUUUGAAGACUGUAACAAUAACACACAAUACUUAGAUGUGUAACAUAUAAAACAAAGAUAUGCAGUUUACUAGCAGUUGCCAAGUGUAUUCUGACCCAAUGCCACAAUGCUAAAUAAAGCUUAUGAACCAUUCUACACAACUUUCAACUUUGCAAGGAUUAGUUUCUGAAGCACGGCAAAUACUUAAGGAUUAAGCAGCACAUUUUUUAACUUGGUGGCUAAUCAGUUGUUUAUGAUCUCUGCUACACUCAUUUUUAAUGGAAAUUGUUUAUUUUGUGAAAAUCUAUUCUUGAGAGAAGAAAGUUCACUCACUCUUGA